rnacentral:siRNA from 1 species
UACUUAUGGUGCGGUAGUUAA